ACCUAGGUGGCUUAGUCCGGUUAAGCAUCUGACUUCAGCUCAGGUCAUGAUCUCAGGAUUUUGGGAUCAAGUCCCAUGUCAGGUU
rnacentral:tRNA from 1 species